UUUUUUUUGGCAGGAGACACAUCUACGAAGUCCAUGAUAUUGUGUAUUUAGUAUAAAAAAAAAAAAACAAUAAAGUGCUUAAACACGAAAAAACUAAAAAAAAUUGUUUAAAAAAACUGUGCGCGCGCAAAAACGAAAAAUUUUGAACAUGUACGCAAAUACAUAAAAUUACGAAAACAAAAUACUACAGUACGCGCUGUAAACAAACACAGACGCAGUUUCAAAAACGGCGGCGCCGUCGGUGGAAGUGGCUGCGGCCAGCCUUCGGGGAGGUUUAGUGGUGGAAAUGUGCAAGAUCGGACGAAUUUUGAUCGCCGCCCAGAAGCGUUCUUACGAUGGCACUAGUUUAAUUAUAAUUAUUAUUGUAAAUAAGUAAUCCGUUAAUGAUAACUAUUUCAUAUUGUAUUUUUAAAUGUUUUAGAUUUUUUACUGUAUUGUAAAUAUAAUAAAUAUCUCCACAACAAAACACGCAUGCAAUACUACAUAGUUAGAUUUUAUUAAAUAUGUAAGUGC